rnacentral:rRNA from 1 species
AACGAACGCUGGCGGCAUGCCUAACACAUGCAAGUCGAACGAGACCUUCGGGUCUAGUGGCGCACGGGUGCGUAACGCGUGGGAACCUGCCCUUAGGUUCGGAAUAACUCCCCGAAAGGGGUGCUAAUACCGGAUAAUGUCUUCGGACCAAAGAUUUAUCGCCUUUGGAUGGGCCCGCGUUGGAUUAGCUAGUUGGUAGGGUAAAAGCCUACCAAGGCGACGAUCCAUAGCUGGUCUGAGAGGAUGAUCAGCCACACUGGGACUGAGACACGGCCCAGACUCCUACGGAAGGCAGCAGUGGGGAAUAUUGGACAAUGGGCGAUAGCCUGAUCCAGCAAUGCCGCGUGAGUGAUGAAGGCCUUAGGGUUGUAAAGCUCUUUUACCCGGGAUGAUAAUGACAGUACCGGGAGAAUAAGCUCCGGCUAACUCCGUG